UUAAUAAUUAUAUAUGUAGUUAAAUGCAGCCAACUUUGAAACCUUGUGGUCACGCAAAAGGCCAUUACCACUAGAGUCAAGCUGGCACGAGUCAUCGUAAUCACGCAGACCUGCAACGGUACCUUCCCCUCUGGCCAAUCUUCUGUGCAACUCUUUGAAACUCAUGCCUUAUAAAUCUACGGAACCUACCUCAUUUCGUUAGGGCCAUUGAUCAAUAUAAUAUAUAAUAGCAGUACUACAUUGUGAGAGAGAAAGAGGAGGGAGAGAGACGUUGUAGAGAUAAUAGUUGAUGGAGGAGGAGAUGAAGAAUGAUGAGGCGGUGGUGAAGCAUUGCUUGCGCUUUUCUUAGGUCCCUAGUUGCGAUGCCUCUCAUAUGCGAGUCGUGACGAAUGACGAUGCCCGGUUGCCGACUCAAGUCGAAGACCGAUGCUAUCUAAGCAAAUUAUUAUUUUUUUUCUUUUGUCAAAUGAUAGAUUUUGUUAGAUUAGCCACUGAUGAGAUUAAAUCCACGUCGUCAUGCCAUGCUUCAACAUCUUACUUAAUUUAAGCAAAUUAAACUAGUUACAAAGACUUGUAUGAACCGAACAAUGAAAAGGGCAAUAAGCGAUCCUUCUGUCUUGUAUGUGUACGGUAUAUAUGCCACAGCGUGCAAUGUUGCAACUUUCUUUCGUUUGAUCAGGAGUGUUAAGAUGGCCAGGAAUAUUAAUUAAUUUAUCUUAA